UCGAAGUUCCCUUUAUUCUUUUUUCUUUUUCCUUCUUCAAUUUGCAGAGAACUUCUAAGAGAGAGUUUGGAAGAAGAAGAGAAAUUUUACUAGAGUUUUUAGGUUGAAGAAGAGGAGGAGAACUCAAGCAAAGUGUAUCAAUGGCUGAAUUUUAGUUCAUUCUGCACAUCACUGGUUUUUAUUUCGGUUUGAACUCUUCAAAAGGAAUUAAGAGGGCAGUUGGUUUUCACUCGAAAUCAGGAGAUCUCUGGCUUUUCUUGUAUUUCAGAGUGUAUCGGUGGAGUUAGAAUCUCUAUUUGUAACAAGUUAAAGAGGUCGUGUGCGCGCGAUUCUGGAAGUAGUUCUGUUUUGAGGGUUAUAUGUGUUUAUGCACGGGGAAUCAGAUUUAUAUAUCUUCAGGUAAGUUUUAGAGGAUCGCAAAAUGAAGAGUUUGAUAUA